rnacentral:rRNA from 1 species
GCCAGACUCCUACGGGAGGCAGCAGUGGGGAAUAUUGCACAAUGGGGGAAACCCUGAUGCAGCGACGCCGCGUGAGUGAAGAAGUAUUUCGGUAUGUAAAGCUCUAUCAGCAGGGAAGAAAAUGACGGUACCUGAUUAAGAAGCCCCGGCUAACUACGUGCCAGCAGCCGCGGUAAUACGUAGGGGGCAAGCGUUAUCCGGAUUUACUGGGUGUAGAGGGAGCGUAGACGGUGAUGCAAGUCAGAAGUGAAAGCCCGGGGCUCAACUCCGGGACUGCUUUUGAAACUGUGUAACUGGAGUGCAGGAGAGGUAAGCGGAAUUCCUGGUGUAGCGGUGAAAUGCGUAGAUAUCAGGAGGAACACCGGUGGCGAAGGCGGCCUGCUGGACGGCGACUGACGUUGAGGCUCGAAAGCGUGGGGAGCGAACAGGAUUAGAUACCCGAGUAGUA